rnacentral:rRNA from 1 species
AUACGGAGGGUGCAAGCGUUAAUCGGAAUUACUGGGCGUAAAGCGUACGUAGGCGGUUCGUUAAGUUAGAUGUGAAAGCCCCGGGCUUAACCUGGGAACUGCAUUUAAAACUGGCGAACUAGAGUUGAGUAGAGGGGAGUGGAAUUUCAGGUGUAGCGGUGAAAUGCGUAGAGAUCUGAAGGAACACCAGUGUCGAAGGCGACUCCCUGGACUCGAACUGACGCUGAGGUACGAAAGCGUGGGUAGCAAACGGGAUUAGAUACCCUAGUAGUCC